UAAAAGAAGUUUUUAAUUUCCAGCUUACAAUUGGAAGAACUCACGUAAUAAUGAGCUUUUACAU
rnacentral:tRNA from 1 species